UUCCGGUUGAUCCUGCCGGACCUGACUGCUAUUGGAGUGGGACUAAGUCACGCUAGUCAAAGGUGCGGAAUGGAGCACCUGGCGUACGGCUCAGUAACACGUAGUCAACCUGCCCUAAGGACGAGGACAACCACGGGAAACUGUGGAUAAUACUCGAUAAGAAAUUCGGCCUGGAACGGUGUCUUUCAUAAAACCGGCUCGCCGUGAGACACGGGCCUUAGGAUGGGGCUGCGGCCGAUUAUGCUAGAUGGCGGUGUAAAGGACCACCAUGGCUACGAUCGGUAUGGGCGAUGGAAGUCGGAGCCCAGAGUCGGCUACUGAGACAAGGAGCCGAGCUUUACGAAGCUUAGCGGUCGCGAAAACUCGCCAAUGUACGAAAGUGUGAGUGGGCUACUCCAAGUGUCAUUCUUACGGAUGACUGUCGCUCAGUCUUACCAGCUGAGAAAGGAAGGAGAGGGCAAGGCUGGUGCCGGCCGCCGCGGUAAAACCAGCUCUUCGAGUGGUCAGGACGAAUAUUGGGUCUAAAGCGCUCGUAGCCGGACAAGCAGGUUCUUGGUUAAACCCGACAGCAUAACUGUUGGCCUGCUGGGAAUACCGCUAGCCUUGGAAGCGGAAGAGGACAGAGGUAGUCAUAGGGCAGGGGUGAAAUCCAGUGAUCCUAUGGCGACCACCGAUGGCGAAGGCAUCUGUCUGGAACGUAUUCGACGGUGAGGGGCGAAAGCUAGGGGAGCGACCCGGGAUUAGAUACCCGGUUAGUCCUAGCCGUAAACGAUGCGGACUAUGUGUUACAGCGGCCAAGAGCCACUGUAGUGCCACAGCGAAGGCGUUAAGUCCGCCACCUGGGGAGUACGGAUGCAAGUCUGAAACUUAAAGGAAUUGACGGGGGCGCACCACCAGGAGUGAAGCUGCGUUUA
rnacentral:rRNA from 1 species